CACAGUGACACUGAAAAAUGUUCGAGGGUGAGGGGUGUAUGUAGGGAUAGGUAUUUUGGGGUUUCUAAUGCUUUAAGCUACAUGCAGGUACACGUAGUUUGCUUAUAUUGCUAUGCAGACACCUAAAAGAUUGCAAAACUUACCAGCAAUGCAUCAUAUUAAUGGAUUUCCUUGUGUGUGUGCACAUAAUCAACAAAAGCAAGAACCGUGAUCACUUGCAGGAGGUGGAGAAAAUGUAACAAUUAAGACUCCAUUCUCAGCCUCACUCACAGGUCCGUCUGCCAGUAUAGAGUUGAACAUGAAUGCUGUACUGAAGACCAUGUACAAGUAUGCAUGACGAAGCCUCGCCCCCUCCCAUCUCCUCUAUCUCACAUGUUGACAUGCAAGGUGACAGCCCUGAGAAACUAAAGACGCUGCCUUCCUCAUGCCCACCUAAACUCUCCUAUGGUAUUGAUACUGGACCGGCUGUAUUUGGGAUGGUGCAUGUAUUGUAUCCAUGAUGACCCGGCCCACACAAACCAGCAGAUGUACUCGUGUGGUUCACAUGAGGGGAGGAUGUAUGGACUCACACUAUCACAAGCCAUGCAGGAGAGCCGUGGGAGAGAGUGAGGGGAAAACUCCAGAUUGGAACUUUACAACAACUCUAUACACGUGUUUACCAAGUUACUGGGUAAGAGAGUGUUCAAGAGAUACCUCGAGCUGUUCUUGGACUCCCCAUAUUUCAUGGACUGGUGGGUUAUUAUGACUCUAGAAGCCAUUAUUUACAAUAUCAUACAAGUUUGCUCCAAAACACUUUCUGUUUGUGUACUUUGAUGCAAUUUCAACAUUGAUAAUGUACUCCAGUUAUUUACAUGUACACACAUGCAUGCACAUGCACACACAAAUGUCUGGUGCAAUAUGCUGGAGUCUCACCUCACUAUGUCAGCUGCUGGGGAGAAUGAUCCUCAGAGGGAGAAUAAAACAAAACAAUCCAAUCUCCAAUGAACUGCAGAGCUUCACCAAGGAAUGGCACUAUAUCAGUGAACAUUCAGUACCAGCUAUUCCCGGUACACAUUAUAUGCAAGUGACCUUCCAGUGUGACAAUGGUCUGUUCCC